GAUGAAGAACGUAGCGAAAUGCGAAAAGUAAUGUGAAUUGCAGAAUUCAGUGAAUCAUCGAAUCUUUGAACGCACAUUGCGCCCGCCAGUAUUUCUGGCGGGCAUGCCUGUCUGAGCGUCAUUUCAACCCUCACGCCCCUAGGGCGUGGUGUUGGGGAUCGGCCAGCGCCCGCGAGGGCAAGGCCGUCCCCCAAAUCUAGUGGCGGACCCGUCGUGGCCUCCCCUGCGAAGUAGUGAUAUUCCGCAUAGGAGAGCGACGAGCCCCUGCCGUUAAACCCCCAACUUUCUCAGGUUGACCUCAGAUCAGGUAGGAAUACCCGCUGAACUUAAGCAUAUCAAUAAGCGGAGGA
rnacentral:misc_RNA from 1 species